GUCGCUCCUACCGAUUGAACGUGCUGGUGAAGCGUUAGGACUGGAACUUUGGGCCGGUUUCCUGCCCAUCGUUUCGGGAAUUUCGUUGAACCCUCCCGUUUAGAGGAAGGAG
rnacentral:rRNA from 1 species